AUUGAACGCUGGCGGCAGGCCUAACACAUGCAAGUCGAGCGGAGCAGCGGACGGGUGCGUAAUGCCUAGGAAUCUGCCUGUAAGUGGGGGAUAACGUUCGGAAACGGGCGCUAAUACCGCAUACUAUCAGAUGAGCCUAGUUCGGAUUAGGUAGUUGGUGAGGUAAAGGCCUACCAAGGCGACGACCCGUAACUGGGCUGAGAGGAUGAUCAGUCACACUGGAACUGAGACACGGUACAGACUCCUACGGGAGGCAGCAGUGGGGAAUAUGGGGCAAUGGGCGAAAGCCUGAUGCAGCCAUGCCGCGUGAGUGAAGAAGGUCUUCGGAUUGUAAAGCUCUUUAAGUUGGGAGGCGUUACCAACAGAAGAAGCACCGGCUAACUUCGUGCCAGCCGCCGCGGUAAUAC
rnacentral:rRNA from 1 species